rnacentral:rRNA from 1 species
CCUACGGUAGGCAGCAGUGAGGAAUAUUGGUCAAUGGACGAGAGUCUGAACCAGCCAAGUAGCGUGAAGGAUGACUGCCCUAUGGGUUGUACACUUCUUUUAUAAAGGAAUAAAACGAGGCAUGCGUGCCUUUUUGUAUGUACUAUAUGAAUAAGGAUCGGCUAACUCCGUGCCAGCAGCCGCGGUAAUACGGAGGAUCCGAGCGUUAUCCGGAUUUAUUGGGUUUAAAGGGAGCGUAGAUGGGUUGUUAAGUCAGUUGUGAAAGUUUGCGGCUCAACCGUAAAAUUGCAAUUGAUACUGGCAGUCUUGAGUACAGUUGAGGUGGGCGGAAUUCGUGGUGUAGCGGUGAAAUGCUUAGAUAUCACGAAGAACCCCGAUUGCGAAGGCAGCUUACUAGACUGUAACUGACAUUGAUGCUCGAAAGUGUGGGUAUCAAACAGGAUUAGAUACCCCAGUAGUC